GACUCAACGCGGGAAUCUUACCGGGUCCGGACACACUGAGGAUUGACAGAGAUUAAUAAUUACUUUUUAAGUAUUUAUUUAAAGAUGCUAGUUCUUUCAUGAUUAUGUGAUAGGUGGUGCAUGGCCGUUCUUAGUUCGUGGAGUGAUCUGUCUGCUUAAUUGCGUUUCAUAUUAAUAUGAAUACUAUUACUAUUUUAAUUUUUAAGUACUGACCCCUCUGUUAUACAGGGCGGGUGUCUUGCUUUUAAUUUUAAUUAUUAUAUUCUAAGAAAGCAACGAACGUGACCGUAUCCUUUUAUUAACUACAAGACACCUGUAGUAUUAAAAAUUAAAGGGACCGCUGUUUCCUACUUAAACCAGAGGAAGGUUACGGCAAUAACA
rnacentral:rRNA from 1 species